rnacentral:rRNA from 1 species
AUGGGAUCCACACAUUUGCCCAUCGUCGGCUUUAAUGCCUCAACAACACCAUCGCUAUCCACUAUUCGCCCGGUAAAUUCAGCUGGUGCUGCAUUCCAACCAUCUGCCCCUUCUAGAACCUCCAAGAAGAAAAGUCGUCGUGUUCAGUCAUUAAGGGAUGGAGGCGAUGGAGGCGUGUCAGACCCUAACCAGUCUAUUCGCCAUGGUCUUGCCGGCAUCAUUGACCUCCCAAAGGAGGGCACAUCAGCUCCGGAAGUGGAUAUUUCACAUGGGUCCGAAGAACCCAGGGGCUCCUACCAAAUGAAUGGGAUACUGAAUGAAGCACAUAAUGGGAGGCAUGCUUCGCUGUCUAAGGUUGUUGAAUUUUGUACGGCAUUGGGCGGCAAAACACCAAUUCACAGUGUAUUAGUUGCGAACAAUGGAAUGGCAGCAGCUAAGUUCAUGCGGAGUGUCCGAACAUGGGCUAAUGAAACAUUUGGGUCAGAGAAGGCAAUUCAGUUGAUAGCUAUGGCUACUCCAGAAGACAUGAGGAUAAAUGCAGAGCACAUUAGAAUUGCUGAUCAAUUUGUUGAAGUACCCGGUGGAACAAACAAUAACAACUAUGCAAAUGUCCAACUCAUAGUGGAGAUAGCAGUGAGAACCGGUGUUUCUGCUGUUUGGCCUGGUUGGGGCCAUGCAUCUGAGAAUCCUGAACUUCCAGAUGCACUAAAUGCAAACGGAAUUGUUUUUCUUGGGCCACCAUCAUCAUCAAUGAACGCACUAGGUGACAAGGUUGGUUCAGCUCUCAUUGCUCAAGCAGCAGGGGUUCCGACUCUUCCUUGGAGUGGAUCACAGGUGGAAAUUCCAUUAGAAGUUUGUUUGGACUCGAUACCUGCGGAGAUGUAUAGGAAAGCUUGUGUUAGUACUACAGAGGAAGCACUUGCGAGUUGUCAGAUGAUUGGGUAUCCCGCCAUGAUUAAAGCAUCAUGGGGUGGUGGUGGUAAAGGGAUCCGAAAGGUUAAUAAUGACGAUGAUGUCAGAGCACUGUUUAAGCAAGUGCAAGGUGAAGUUCCUGGCUCCCCAAUAUUUAUCAUGAGACUUGCAUCUCAGAGUCGACAUCUUGAAGUUCAGUUGCUUUGUGAUCAAUAUGGCAAUGUAGCUGCGCUUCACAGUCGUGACUGCAGUGUGCAACGGCGACACCAAAAGAUUAUUGAGGAAGGACCAGUUACUGUUGCUCCUCGCGAGACAGUGAAAGAGCUAGAGCAAGCAGCAAGGAGGCUUGCUAAGGCUGUGGGUUAUGUUGGUGCUGCUACUGUUGAAUAUCUCUACAGCAUGGAGACUGGUGAAUACUAUUUUCUGGAACUUAAUCCACGGUUGCAGGUUGAGCAUCCAGUCACCGAGUGGAUAGCUGAAGUAAACUUGCCUGCAGCUCAAGUUGCAGUUGGAAUGGGUAUACCCCUUUGGCAGGUUCCAGAGAUCAGACGUUUCUAUGGAAUGGACAAUGGAGGAGGCUAUGACAUUUGGAGGACAACAGCAGCUCUUGCUACUCCAUUUAACUUCGAUGAAGUGGAUUCUCAAUGGCCAAAGGGUCAUUGUGUAGCAGUUAGGAUAACCAGUGAGGAUCCAGAUGACGGAUUCAAGCCUACCGGUGGAAAAGUAAAGGAGAUCAGUUUUAAAAGCAAGCCAAAUGUUUGGGCCUAUUUCUCUGUUAAGUCCGGUGGAGGCAUUCAUGAAUUUGCUGAUUCUCAGUUUGGACAUGUUUUUGCAUAUGGAGUGUCUAGAGCAGCAGCAAUAACCAACAUGUCUCUUGCGCUAAAAGAGAUUCAAAUUCGUGGAGAAAUUCAUUCAAAUGUUGAUUACACAGUUGAUCUCUUGAAUGCCUCAGACUUCAAAGAAAACAGGAUUCAUACUGGCUGGCUGGAUAACAGAAUAGCAAUGCGAGUCCAAGCUGAGAGACCUCCCUGGUAUAUUUCAGUGGUUGGAGGAGCUCUAUAUAAAACAAUAACGAGCAACACAGACACUGUUUCUGAAUAUGUUAGCUAUCUCGUCAAGGGUCAGAUUCCACCAAAGCAUAUAUCCCUUGUCCAUUCAACUGUUUCUUUGAAUAUAGAGGAAAGCAAAUAUACAAUUGAAACUAUAAGGAGCGGACAGGGUAGCUACAGAUUGCGAAUGAAUGGAUCAGUUAUUGAAGCAAAUGUCCAAACAUUAUGUGAUGGUGGACUUUUAAUGCAGUUGGAUGGAAACAGCCAUGUAAUUUAUGCUGAAGAAGAGGCCGGUGGUACACGGCUUCUAAUUGAUGGAAAGACAUGCUUGUUACAGAAUGAUCACGAUCCUUCAAGGUUAUUAGCUGAGACACCCUGCAAACUUCUUCGUUUCUUGGUUGCCGAUGGUGCUCAUGUUGAAGCUGAUGUACCAUAUGCGGAAGUUGAGGUUAUGAAGAUGUGCAUGCCCCUCUUGUCACCUGCUGCUGGUGUCAUUAAUGUUUUGUUGUCUGAGGGCCAGCCUAUGCAGGCUGGUGAUCUUAUAGCAAGACUUGAUCUUGAUGACCCUUCUGCUGUGAAGAGAGCUGAGCCAUUUAACGGGUCUUUCCCAGAAAUGAGCCUUCCUAUUGCUGCUUCUGGCCAAGUUCACAAAAGAUGUGCCACAAGCUUGAAUGCUGCUCGGAUGGUCCUUGCAGGAUAUGAUCACCCGAUCAACAAAGUUGUACAAGAUCUGGUAUCCUGUCUAGAUGCUCCUGAGCUUCCUUUCCUACAAUGGGAAGAGCUUAUGUCUGUUUUAGCAACUAGACUUCCAAGGCUUCUUAAGAGCGAGUUGGAGGGUAAAUACAGUGAAUAUAAGUUAAAUGUUGGCCAUGGGAAGAGCAAGGAUUUCCCUUCCAAGAUGCUAAGAGAGAUAAUCGAGGAAAAUCUUGCACAUGGUUCUGAGAAGGAAAUUGCUACAAAUGAGAGGCUUGUUGAGCCUCUUAUGAGCCUACUGAAGUCAUAUGAGGGUGGCAGAGAAAGCCAUGCACACUUUAUUGUGAAGUCCCUUUUCGAGGACUAUCUCUCGGUUGAGGAACUAUUCAGUGAUGGCAUUCAGUCUGAUGUGAUUGAGCGCCUGCGCCAACAACAUAGUAAAGAUCUCCAGAAGGUUGUAGACAUUGUGUUGUCUCACCAGGGUGUGAGAAACAAAACUAAGCUGAUACUAACACUCAUGGAGAAACUGGUCUAUCCAAACCCUGCUGCCUACAAGGAUCAGUUGACUCGCUUUUCUUCCCUCAAUCACAAAAGAUAUUAUAAGUUGGCCCUUAAAGCUAGCGAGCUUCUUGAACAAACCAAGCUUAGUGAGCUCCGCACAAGCAUUGCAAGGAGCCUUUCAGAACUUGAGAUGUUUACUGAAGAAAGGACGGCCAUUAGUGAGAUCAUGGGAGAUUUAGUGACUGCCCCGCUGCCAGUUGAAGAUGCACUGGUUUCUUUGUUUGAUUGUAGUGAUCACACUCUUCAGCAGAGGGUGAUCGAGACGUACAUAUCUCGAUUAUACCAGCCUCAUCUUGUCAAGGAUAGUAUCCAGCUGAAAUAUCAGGAAUCUGGUGUUAUUGCUUUAUGGGAAUUCGCUGAAGCGCAUUCAGAGAAGAGAUUGGGUGCUAUGGUUAUUGUGAAGUCGUUAGAAUCUGUAUCAGCAGCAAUUGGAGCUGCACUAAAGGAUACAUCACGCUAUGCAAGCUCUGAGGGUAACAUAAUGCAUAUUGCUUUAUUGGGUGCUGAUAAUCAAAUGCAUGGAACUGAAGACAGUGGUGAUAACGAUCAAGCUCAAGUCAGGAUAGACAAACUUUCUGCAACACUGGAACAAAAUACUGUCACAGCUGAUCUCUGUGAUGCUGGUGUGAAGGUUAUUAGUUGCAUUGUUCAAAGGGAUGGAGCACUCAUGCCUAUGCGCCAUACCUUCCUCUUGUCGGAUGAAAAGCUUUGUUAUGAGGAAGAGCCGGUUCUCCGGCAUGUGGAGCCUCCUCUUUCUGCUCUUCUUGAGUUGGGUAAGUUGAAAGUGAAAGGAUACAAUGAGGUGAAGUAUACACCGUCACGUGAUCGUCAGUGGAACAUAUACACACUUAGAAAUACAGAAAACCCCAAAAUGUUGCACAGGGUGUUUUUCCGAACUCUUGUCAGGCAACCCGGUGCUUCCAACAAAUUCACAUCAGGCCACAUCAGUGAUGUUGAGGUGGGAGGAGCUGAGGAAUCUCUUUCAUUUACAUCGAGCAGCAUAUUAAGAUCGCUGAUGACUGCUAUAGAAGAGUUGGAGCUUCACGCGAUUAGGACAGGUCACUCUCAUAUGUUUUUGUGCAUAUUGAAAGAGCAAAAGCUUCUUGAUCUUGUUCCUGUUUCAGGGAACAAAGUUGUGGAUAUUGGCCAAGAUGAAGCUACUGCAUGCUCGCUUCUGAAAGAAAUGGCUCUACAGAUACAUGAACUUGUGGGUGCAAGGAUGCAUCAUCUUUCUGUAUGCCAAUGGGAGGUGAAACUUAAGUUGGACAGCGAUGGGCCUGCAAGUGGUACCUGGAGAGUCGUAACAACCAAUGUUACUAGUCACACCUGCACUGUCGAUAUCUACCGUGAGGUUGAAGAUACAGAAUCACAGAAACUAGUAUACCACUCUGCUCCAUCGUCAUCUGGUCCUUUGCAUGGCGUUGCACUGAAUACUCCAUAUCAGCCUUUGAGUGUUAUUGAUCUGAAACGUUGCUCCGCUAGAAACAACAGAACUACAUACUGCUAUGAUUUUCCGUUGGCAUUUGAAACUGCAGUGCAGAAGUCAUGGUCUAACAUUUCUAGUGACAAUAACCGAUGUUAUGUUAAAGCAACGGAGCUGGUGUUUGCUCAAAAGAAUGGGUCAUGGGGCACUCCUGUAAUUCCUAUGGAGCGUCCUGCUGGGCUCAAUGACAUUGGUAUGGUAGCUUGGAUCUUGGACAUGUCCACUCCUGAAUAUCCCAAUGGCAGGCAGAUUGUUGUCAUCGCAAAUGAUAUUACUUUUAGAGCUGGAUCGUUUGGUCCAAGGGAAGAUGCAUUUUUUGAAACUGUUACCAACCUAGCUUGUGAGAGGAAGCUUCCUCUCAUCUACUUGGCAGCAAACUCUGGUGCUCGGAUCGGCAUAGCAGAUGAAGUAAAAUCGUGCUUCCGUGUUGGAUGGUCUGAUGAUGGCAGCCCUGAACGUGGGUUUCAGUACAUUUAUCUGACUGAAGAAGACCAUGCUCGUAUUAGCACUUCUGUUAUAGCGCACAAGAUGCAGCUUGAUAAUGGUGAAAUUAGGUGGGUUAUUGAUUCUGUUGUGGGGAAGGAGGAUGGGCUAGGUGUGGAGAACAUACAUGGAAGUGCUGCUAUUGCCAGUGCCUAUUCUAGGGCCUAUGAGGAGACAUUUACGCUUACAUUUGUGACUGGACGGACUGUUGGAAUAGGAGCAUAUCUUGCUCGACUUGGCAUACGGUGCAUACAGCGUACUGACCAGCCCAUUAUCCUAACCGGGUUCUCUGCUUUGAACAAGCUUCUUGGCCGGGAAGUGUACAGCUCCCACAUGCAGUUGGGUGGCCCCAAAAUUAUGGCGACAAACGGUGUUGUCCAUCUGACAGUUUCAGAUGACCUUGAAGGUGUGUCUAAUAUAUUGAGGUGGCUCAGCUAUGUUCCUGCCAACAUUGGUGGACCUCUUCCUAUUACAAAAUCUUUGGACCCACCUGACAGACCCGUUGCAUAUAUCCCUGAGAAUACAUGUGAUCCUCGUGCAGCCAUCAGUGGCAUUGAUGAUAGCCAAGGGAAAUGGUUGGGGGGCAUGUUCGACAAAGACAGUUUUGUGGAGACAUUUGAAGGAUGGGCGAAGUCAGUAGUUACUGGCAGAGCGAAACUCGGAGGGAUUCCGGUGGGUGUUAUAGCUGUGGAGACACAGACUAUGAUGCAGCUCAUCCCUGCUGAUCCAGGCCAGCUUGAUUCCCAUGAGCGGUCUGUUCCUCGUGCUGGGCAAGUCUGGUUUCCAGAUUCAGCUACUAAGACAGCUCAAGCAAUGCUGGACUUCAACCGUGAAGGAUUACCUCUGUUCAUCCUUGCUAACUGGAGAGGCUUCUCUGGUGGGCAAAGAGAUCUUUUUGAAGGAAUCCUUCAGGCUGGGUCAACAAUUGUUGAGAACCUUAGGACAUACAAUCAGCCUGCCUUUGUAUAUAUCCCCAAGGCUGCAGAGCUACGUGGAGGGGCUUGGGUCGUGAUUGAUAGCAAGAUAAAUCCAGAUCGAAUUGAGUUCUAUGCUGAGAGGACUGCAAAGGGUAAUGUUCUUGAACCUCAAGGGUUGAUUGAGAUCAAGUUCAGGUCAGAGGAACUCCAAGAGUGCAUGGGCAGGCUUGACCCAGAAUUGAUAAAUCUGAAGGCAAAACUCCUGGGAGCAAAGCAUGAAAAUGGAAGUCUAUCUGAGUCAGAAUCCCUUCAGAAGAGCAUAGAAGCCCGGAAGAAACAGUUGUUGCCUUUGUAUACUCAAAUUGCGGUGCGGUUUGCUGAAUUGCAUGACACUUCCCUUAGAAUGGCUGCUAAGGGUGUGAUUAAGAAGGUUGUAGACUGGAAAGAUUCUAGGUCUUUCUUCUACAAGAGAUUACGGAGGAGGAUAUCCGAGGACGUUCUUGCAAAGGAAAUUAGAGGUGUAAGUGGCAAGCAGUUCUCUCACCAAUCAGCAAUCGAGCUGAUCCAGAAAUGGUACUUGGCUUCUAAGGGAGCUGAAGCAGCAAGCACUGAAUGGGAUGAUGACGAUGCUUUUGUUGCCUGGAGGGAAAACCCUGAAAACUACCAGGAGUAUAUCAAAGAACUUAGGGCUCAAAGGGUAUCUCAGUUGCUCUCAGAUGUUGCAGACUCCAGUCCAGAUCUAGAAGCCUUGCCACAGGGUCUUUCUAUGCUACUAGAGAAGAUGGAUCCCUCAAGGAGAGCACAGUUUGUUGAGGAAGUCAAGAAAGUCCUUAAAUGA